CGGCGUGCUUAACACAUGCAAGUCGAACGGUGACCUCGGAGCUUGCUCCGGGCGAUCAGUGGCGAACGGGUGAGUAACACGUGAGUAACCUGCCCCAGACUUUUGGGAUAACCCCGGGAAMCCGGAGCUAAUACCGGAUAUGACACGAAGAGGCAUCUCUAUCGUGUGGAAAGUUUUUCGGUCUGGGAUGGACUCGCGGCCUAUCAGCUAGUUGGUGAGGUAACGGCUCACCAAGGCGACGACGGGUAGCCGGCCUGAGAGGGCGACCGGCCACACUGGGACUGAGACACGGCCCAGACUCCUACGGGAGGCAGCAGUGGGGAAUAUUGCACAAUGGGCGAAAGCCUGAUGCAGCGACGCCGCGUGGGGGAUGACGGCCUUCGGGUUGUAAACCCCUUUCAGCAGGGAAGAA
rnacentral:rRNA from 1 species